AGGCAAUCUCUUCCUCUCUUCAAUUAGUAUUUUUCUUUCUUAAAAGUCAUCACCACGCAAUUCAGGAAGUACCUCUAAAUGGCUCUAACAGUCUUAGCUCCUCUUCUGAGUUGCACAUUAUCUACAAAUUCAGGGGAUUCACUUUGCAACAGGACUGGUUUUUGCACACCAGCUGAUGGGAAGAAAAUAAGGAGUCCUGAGUUUGGGUCCAAGGCUCCCAAGGACCAGGCUGGGACUGGAGAGACACCCUCCACUGACAGAGGUUAUCAGGCCGCAAUUCGAGAACAGAGACACCAUCCCCGGGAUCCUCACCUGCAUCCUCCUCCUCCAGACUGGCAUGAUCUAGUUCAACUUUUACCUCUGCUCCUCCAAGGAUGGCCUGGAGUCGCUUUUGUUUUGCUGUGAUCUUCUUCAGCUGUUGUUCCUUAAAUGGUUUUCUCUCAGCAAAUUCUCAUUUAAAACAGCCUGUCUCUGAACAAUCUCUCUCUAAACAUCAGAGAGGUGCUAAAGAAAGACAGAGGAGUAGACAACCAAGUUAGACUAGUACCUAAAGUGGUCUAAGUAUUGGUCCUCGCUGCUCUUUGAAACCCCA